GAUGAACGCUGGCGGCGUGCCUAAUACAUGCAAGUCGAGCGAACAGACGAGGAGCUUGCUCCUCUGACGUUAGCGGCGGACGGGUGAGUAACACGUGGAUAACCUACCUAUAAGACUGGGAUAACUUCGGGAAACCGGAGCUAAUACCGGAUAAUAUAUUGAACCGCAUGGUUGAAUAGUGAAAGACGGUUUUGCUGUCACUUAUAGAUGGAUCCGCGCCGCAUUAGCUAGUUGGUAAGUUAACGGCUUACCAAGGCAACGAUGCGUAGCCGACCUGAGAGGGUGAUCGGCCACACUGGAACUGAGACACGGUCCAGACUACUACGGGAGGCAGCAGUAGGGAAUCUUCCGCAAUGGGCGAAAGCCUGACGGAGCAACGCCGCGUGAGUGAUGAAGGUCUUCGGAUCGUAAAACUCUGUUAUUAGGGAAGAACAAAUGUGUAAGUAACUAUGCACGUCUUGACGGUACCUAAUCAGAAAGCCACGGCUAACUACGUG
rnacentral:rRNA from 1 species